rnacentral:misc_RNA from 1 species
GAUGAAAGUGAUGAACAAGAAUCUGAUGAAGCCAUGGAAACUGAUCAAGAUAGCGAAGAAGAACAAGAAUUUGGUGAACUUAGUGAUCUUGAAGGAGGUGAUAAUAUCAGCAUGAGUGAAUAAUGUUACCAAGGCUAUUAUCGUUUAUGUUACUAGGAGCAAUGGGUAAAAUGGAUUUGGAAUUUGAUGUCCUGGGAACGUUUUUUCUUGUCAGUCUGAAGGACGAGAGUCUGCCUGAUUCUCAUGGCUUUGUUGCAAAACAUCGUUUUACUGGAGCACAAAGAACAUUUUGGGUAAGCGGAGUAACGGUGA